rnacentral:rRNA from 1 species
UACGAAGGGUGCAAGCGUUACUCGGAAUUACUGGGCGUAAAGCGUGCGUAGGCGGUUUGUUAAGUCCGCUGUGAAAGCCCUGGGCUCAACCUGGGAAUUGCAGUGGAUACUGGCAAGCUAGAGUGCGGUAGAGGAUGGUGGAAUUCCCGGUGUAGCGGUGAAAUGCGUAGAGCUCGGGAAGAACAUCGGUGGCGAAAGCGCUCUACUGGACUGCAACUGACGCUCAGGGACGAAAGCUAGGGGAGCGAAUGGG